rnacentral:antisense_RNA from 1 species
CUUGAUGGUGGCUGCGUACGGGAGGUUUUCGAACCUGCCGGUUUCGUUCUCUGCCGGUCUUGCAGACCUGUACGUGGCCGCCACCCAU